ensembl:lncRNA
CUGGAAAUGGAAAGGCCCUGCUUCCUAUUUUAGAAUGUGAGAAACUUCACCUGAUGAAGAUUGCCCUGUGAUGGGAAAUAUAACACAUGGACACUUCAGGUAGCUGGAAGCACUACACAGAACCUAGAAUUUUUAGGACAAGCCUGCAAUUUUUAGGUCUGAGAAGAUAAUGUGGGCAAAGAACGAACUGAAUAAAGAAUGAGAUUUGAACAUCCCGCAAGGCAGGGGGCGUGGAGUGCUGGCACCUGAUGGGGAAGACCAGGGGCCCUGGAGUCAGUGAGACUGAGGUUCAGGUCCUCCCUCUGAUUCUUGCCAGGUGUGUGAACUUGAUGAUUUUUUUCUGCUGAACCUCUCCGAGCCUCUGUUUUUCCAUCUUAUAAAAAGGAGAUCAUAACAGGUACCAUUUCAAAGGGAAGUUAUGACAGUUAAAGAAGAGAUCACAUGUAAAAGGUUUGGCGCAGAGUGUAUUACCACUAGACUGAUUAUUCUGGUUAUUAAAGGAAUAAUAAUUGCCAUUAGAACAAUGUUAAAAUUACUGCUGAUGCUGUUACUAUGGUUAUUAUUACUGUUGCUAUUUGGCAGGUGGUGAAACUGAGACCCAGAUUAAAUGACUUGUCCAAGGCCACGGGGCAAUGCCUGUCCCUUGACUUUUAAGCCAACACUCUGUGAGCUCAGCAUGUUUUCCCCAUUAAGCCCACCCAGGCCCCCUUCCCAGCCCAUCUGGUCACCGACGGCAGCUCUGAUGAAGCAACGGGGGCAGCUGCCAGCCUGAGAAGAGAGACUGGCCAGCCCUGUGUGCCGGGCAUCAUUUAAUUAGAUGACCUCUGAAGCUGGCUUUUCCAGUCUACCGUCCGGCCUCCAGAAGAGCAGCAUUAAGGAGUUAAUGGGGCUUGGCGGAGGCAAUGGGCCAUCUGUUCUUAAUUACCCAAAGUGUAUGAGGCCGAGGGCAGGCUGGCGUGGGGGCGGCGGGGCACUGCCAGGCUGGCUGCCCUCUGUCAGUUGCCUGGCCUCACACCUCCCUCCAUCCCUGGGUCCUCAAGUCCCUCAGUUUCCCUUCUCCUGUUUCUCCUGCCUCUGAGGCGGAGAAGCAGAAGCUCGCAUUCAGGAGCUGCAGUGCUGGGAGUAGACGAUGGGGUAACUAGCAUUUGGUUCUGCAG